rnacentral:siRNA from 1 species
ACACGCCACCGGAGACACCUCCAA